rnacentral:rRNA from 1 species
UUAAGCAUAUCAAUAAGCGGAGGAAAAGAAACUAACAAGGAUUCCCCUAGUAACUGCGAGUGAAGCGGGAAAAGCUCAAAUUUAAAAUCUGGCGGUCUUUGGCUGUCCGAGUUGUAAUCUAGAGAAGUAUUAUCCGCGCUGGACCGUGUACAAGUCUCCUGGAAUGGAGCGUCAUAGAGGGUGAGAAUCCCGUCUUUGACACGGACUGCCAGGGCUUUGUGAUAUGCUCUCAAAGAGUCGAGUUGUUUGGGAAUGCAGCUCAAAAUGGGUGGUAAAUUCCAUCUAAAGCUAAAUAUUGGCGAGAGACCGAUAGCGAACAAGUACCGUGAGGGAAAGAUGAAAAGAACUUUGGAAAGAGAGUUAAACAGUACGUGAAAUUGCUGAAAGGGAAACGCUUGAAGUCAGUCGCGUUGGCCAGGGAUCAACCUUGCUUUUUUGCUUGGCUUACUUUCUGGUCGAUGGGUCAGCAUCAAUUUUGACCGGUGGAAAAAGUYCAAAGGAAUGUGGCAUCUUCGGAUGUGUUAUAGCCUUUGUUCACAUACAUUGGUUGGGAUUGAGGAACUCAGCACGCCGCAAGGCCGGGUUUUUAACCACGUACGUGCUUAGGAUGCUGGCAUAAUGGCUUUAAUCGACCCGUCUUGAAACACGGACCAAGGAGUCUAACAUGCCUGCGAGUAUUUGGGUGAAAAACCCGAGUGCGUAAUGAAAGUGAAAGUUGAGAUCCCUGUCGUGGGGAGCAUUGACGCCCGGAUCUGACCUUUUGUGACGAUUCUGCGGUAGAGCAUGUAUGUUGGGACCCGAAAGAUGGUGAACUAUGCCUGAAUAGGGUGAAGCCAGAGGAAACUCUGGUGGGGGCUCGUAGCGAUUCUGACGUGCAAAUCGAUCGUCAAAUUUGGGUAUAGGGCGGAAGACGAAUCG